rnacentral:rRNA from 1 species
AGAGUUUGAUCAUGGCUCAGGACGAACGCUGGCGGCGUGCCUAAUACAUGCAAGUAGAACGCUGAAGAAAGGAGCUUGCUUCUUUUGGAUGAGUUGCGAACGGGUGAGUAACGCGUAGGUAACCUGCCUUGUAGCGGGGGAUAACUAUUGGAAACGAUAGCUAAUACCGCAUAACAGCUUUUGACACAUGUUAGAAACUUGAAAGAUGCAAUUGCAUCACUACGAGAUGGACCUGCGUUGUAUUAGCUAGUAGGUAGGGUAACGGCCUACCUAGGCGACGAUACAUAGCCGACCUGAGAGGGUGAUCGGCCACACUGGGACUGAGACACGGCCCAGACUCCUACGGGAGGCAGCAGUAGGGAAUCUUCGGCAAUGGGGGCAACCCUGACCGAGCAACGCCGCGUGAGUGAAGAAGGUUUUCGGAUCGUAAAGCUCUGUUGUAAGAGAAGAACGUGUGUGAGAGUGGAAAGUUCACACAGUGACGGUAACUUACCAGAAAGGGACGGCUAACUACGUGCCAGCAGCCGCGGUAAUACGUAGGUCCCGAGCGUUGUCCGGAUUUAUUGGGCGUAAAGCGAGCGCAGGCGGUUUAAUAAGUCUGAAGUUAAAGGCAGUGGCUUAACCAUUGUUCGCUUUGGAAACUGUUAAACUUGAGUGCAGAAGGGGAGAGUGGAAUUCCAUGUGUAGCGGUGAAAUGCGUAGAUAUAUGGAGGAACACCGGUGGCGAAAGCGGCUCUCUGGUCUGUAACUGACGCUGACGCUCGAAAGCGUGGGGAGCAAACAGGAUUAGAUACCCUGGUAGUCCACGCCGUAAACGAUGAGUGCUAGGUGUUAGGCCCUUUCCGGGGCUUAGUGCCGCAGCUAACGCAUUAAGCACUCCGCCUGGGGAGUACGACCGCAAAGUUUAAACUCAAAGGAAUUGACGG